GACGAACGCUGGCGGCGUGCCUAAUACAUGCAAGUCGAGCGAAGUUUUGCUGGUGCUUGCACUAGAAAAACUUAGCGGCGAACGGGUGAGUAACACGUAAAGAACCUGCCUCAUAGACUGGGACAACUAUUGGAAACGAUAGCUAAUACCGGAUAACAGUAUUUCUCGCAUGAGAGAUAUUUAAAAGUUGGUUAUGCUAACACUAUGAGAUGGCUUUGCGGUGCAUUAGCUAGUUGGUGGGGUAAAGGCCUACCAAGGCGACGAUGCAUAGCCGACCUGAGAGGGUGAUCGGCCACACUGGGACUGAGACACGGCCCAGACUCCUACGGGAGGCAGCAGUAGGGAAUCUUCCGCAAUGGGCGAAAGCCUGACGGAGCAACGCCGCGUGAGUGAAGAAGGAUUUCGGUUCGUAAAGCUCUGUUGUUAGGGAAGAAUGGAUAUUAGUAACUAUACAUGUAAGA
rnacentral:rRNA from 1 species